UACGUAGGUGGCAAGCGUUAUCCGGAAUUAUUGGGCGUAAAGAGCGCGCAGGUGGUUAAUUAAGUCUGAUGUGAAAGCCCACGGCUUAACCGUGGAGAGUCAUUGGAAACUGGUUGACUUGAGUGCAGAAGAGGGAAGUGGAAUUCCAUGUGUAGCGGUGAAAUGCGUAGAGAUAUGGAGGAACACCAGUGGCGAAGGCGGCUUCCUGGUCUGCAACUGACACUGAGGCGCGAAAGCGUGGGGAGCAAACAGG
rnacentral:rRNA from 1 species